rnacentral:rRNA from 1 species
AACCUGCCUUAUACUGGGGGAUAACAGCCAGAAAUGACUGCUAAUACCGCAUAAGCGCACAGAACCGCAUGGUUCGGUGUGAAAAACUCCGGUGGUAUAAGAUGGACCCGCGUUGGAUUAGCUAGUUGGCAGGGCAGCGGCCUACCAAGGCGACGAUCCAUAGCCGGCCUGAGAGGGCGAACGGCCACAUUGGGACUGAGACACGGCCCAGACUCCUACGGGAGGCAGCAGUGGGGAAUAUUGCACAAUGGGGGAAACCCUGAUGCAGCGACGCCGCGUGAAGGAAGAAGUAUCUCGGUAUGUAAACUUCUAUCAGCAGGGAAGAUAAUGACGGUACCUGACUAAGAAGCCCCGGCUAACUACGUGCCAGCAGCCGCGGUAAUACGUAGGGGGCAAGCGUUAUCCGGAUUUACUGGGUGUAAAGGGAGCGUAGACGGCGCAGCAAGUCUGAUGUGAAAGGCAGGGGCUUAACCCCUGGACUGCAUUGGAAACUGCUGUGCUUGGGUGCCGGAGGGGUAAGCGGAAUUCCUAGUGUAGCGGUGAAAUGCGUAGAUAUUAGGAGGAACACCAGUGGCGAAGGCGGCUUACUGGACGGUAACUGAC